rnacentral:rRNA from 1 species
AGAGUUUGAUCCUGGCUCAGAUUGAACGCUGGCGGCAGGCCUAACACAUGCAAGUCGAGCGGAUGAAGGGAGCUUGCUCCUGGAUUCAGCGGCGGACGGGUGAGUAAUGCCUAGGAAUCUGCCUGGUAGUGGGGGAUAACGUCCGGAAACGGGCGCUAAUACCGCAUACGUCCUGAGGGAGAAAGUGGGGGAUCUUCGGACCUCACGCUAUCAGAUGAGCCUAGGUCGGAUUAGCUAGUUGGUGGGGUAAAGGCCUACCAAGGCGACGAUCCGUAACUGGUCUGAGAGGAUGAUCAGUCACACUGGAACUGAGACACGGUCCAGACUCCUACGGGAGGCAGCAGUGGGGAAUAUUGGACAAUGGGCGAAAGCCUGAUCCAGCCAUGCCGCGUGUGUGAAGAAGGUCUUCGGAUUGUAAAGCACUUUAAGUUGGGAGGAAGGGCAGUAAGUUAAUACCUUGCUGUUUUGACGUUACCAA